GGAGUUGUCAGUCUCAGAGGGGUGUAUUUUACAGCGCUCCGUCUCCCGCCUGCCCUAGGACGUCAGCUGUUACAAGCACUUUGGAAGGAAGCAGCUCACGGCUCUCUGCUUAGACCUAGCCAUGACGAGGACGUCUACGUGCGUAUACCACUUGUUUGUCUUGAGCUGGUAUAUCUUCCUCAACUUUUAUAUCUCACUAGAAGGAAAGGAUCCGCAGAUAUCCCUAAUCUUUCAAAAGGGGGGAAAAUGGAAGUACCUAACACUGCUUAAUCUGCUCUUGCAGGCCAUUUUCUUCGGGGUGGCCUGCCUGGAAGAUGUGCUGAAAAGAACCAAAGGGGAAAAAGACAUUAAGUUCAUAACGGCCUUCAGAGACCUGCUUUUCACCACACUGGCUUUUCCACUAUCCACAUUUGUAUUUCUGGCAUUCUGGAUUAUCUUUCUCUACGAUAGAGAACUCAUUUACCCUAAGGUCCUAGAUACCGUCUUUCCAGUGUGGUUGAAUCAUGCAAUGCACACUUUCAUCCUGCCCUUCUCGCUAGUCGAGGUCAUCCUCAGACCACACUGCUACCCGUUGAGGAAGAAAGGACUCACUCUGUUGACUGCUGCUGGGCUCGCCUAUGUCAGCAGGACCCUGUGGAUCUACUCUGAGACGGGUACAUGGGUAUAUCCUGUGUUUGCCAAACUCAGCCCAGUGGGUCUAGCAGCCUUGUUCUCUCUCAGCCACAUCUUUAUCAUCGGCAUCUACCUAUUUGGAGAGAAGCUCAACCACUGGAAAUGGGGUGACAGAAUGCAACCGGGGAAGAAGAGGAAGUGAUCAGACACCGUUUUCCAAGAACUAAGAAGGAAGAAAACAUGAGAAAUUUUUUCCCAU
rnacentral:lncRNA from 1 species